CCUACGGGAGGCUGCAGUAGGGAAUCUUCCACAAUGGACGAAAGUCUGAUGGAGCAACGCCGCGUGAGUGAAGAAGGGUUUCUGCUCGUACCGCUCUGUUGGUAGUGAAGAAAGAUAGAGGUAGUAACUGGCCUUUAUUUGACGGUAAUUACUUAGAAAGUCACGGCUAACUACGUGCCAGCAGCCUCGUUAAUACGUAGGUGGCAAGCGUUGUCCGGGUUUUUUGGGCGUAAAGCGCGUGCAGGCGUUUCAAUACGUAUGAUGUGAAAGCCUUCGGCUCAACCGGAGAAUUGCAUCAGAAACUGUUGAACUUGAGUGCAGAAGAGGGGAGUGGAACUCCAUGUGUAGCGGUGGAAUGCGUAGAUAUAUGGAAGAACACCAGUGGCGAAGGCGGCUCUCUGGUCUGCAACUGACGCUGAGGCUCGAAAGCAUGGGUAGCGAACAGGAUUAGAUACCCGUGUAGUC
rnacentral:rRNA from 1 species